GGAAAUCCCACAGAAAACACGCAAAAAAGCUCACACGCAGAACAAAAUCUCUUAGGAGGAGGAAAUCACGUCAUAUGGGAAAACACAACGGUAUGCAAUCAGAGACCGUAAUUGUUGAAUAUUCAGUUUCUGAUAAUGGGAUAAAGAAUAGAAAUGCUAUUAUCAAAUCUGGUAAGGAAUUGAUUGGUGAGGAUGAGGCAAGUAGUUCAAGAUACAGACCCGACACCAAUGCUGGUGAUGAAGCAUAUGAGCCUGCACAUUCUGAUAACUGGGCCGAAGCCACUGCUUGCUGGGAAGUUGGAAAAGCUAUUCUCCAAGGGCAUGACGAUAGCACACUCAUGACUCAGACUCUGCAGGGAUUCCUAGAUCGAGAACAGGAAGAGUGGAUCCUAAGGAAGAAGACGUGAUUUGCUUCCGUAUAUAGUCUGAAGGUAUGGUCUCUGAAAU
rnacentral:lncRNA from 1 species